rnacentral:rRNA from 1 species
UGGGGAAUUUUGCACAAUGGAGGAAACUCUGAUGCAGCGACGCCGCGUGAGUGAUGAAGAUCUUCGGAUUGUAAAACUCUGUCCUUAGUGAAGAUAAUGACAGUAACUAAGAAGCAAGCCCUGGCUAAAUACGUGCCAGCAGCCGCGGUAAUACGUAUGGGGCAAGCGUUGUCCGGAAUUAUUGGGUGUAAAGGGUACGUAGGCGGUUUAAUAAGUCCUAAUUAAAAGGCUAUGGCUCAACCAUAGUAUGGUUAGGAAACUGUUGAACUUGAGUAGAUGAGGGGAAAGUGGAAUUCCAUGUGUAGCGGUGAAAUGCGUAGAUAUAUGGAGGAACACCAAUGGCGAAGGCAACUUUCUGGAAUCAAACUGACGCUGAGGUACGAAGGCGUGGGGAGCAAACAGG